AUUGAACGCUGGCGGCAGGCCUAACACAUGCAAGUCGAACGAGUGGUGGACGGGUGAGUAAUGUCUGGGAAACUGCCAGAAGGAGGGGGAUAACUACUGGAAACGGUAGCUAAUACCGCAUACCAUCGGAUGUGCCCAGAUGGGAUUAGCUAGUAGGUGGGGUAACGGCUCACCUAGGCGACGAUCCCUAGCUGGGCUGAGAGGAUGACCAGCCACCCUGGAACUUAGACACGGUCCAGACGCCUACGGGACGCAGCAGUGGGGAAUAUUGUACAUGUGGCGCAAGCCUGAUGCAGCCAUGCCGCGUGUAUGACGAAGGCCUUCGGGUUGUAAAGUACUUUCAGCGAGGAGGCGUUACUCGCAGAAGAAGCAUCGGCUAACUCCGUGCCAGCAGCCGCGGUAAUAC
rnacentral:rRNA from 1 species